UACGUAGGUGGCAAGCGUUAUCCGGAUUUACUGGGUGUAAAGGGCGUGUAGGCGGGAUCGCAAGUCAGAUGUGAAAUUCCAGGGCUCAACCCUGGACCUGCAUUUGAAACUGUGAUUCUUGAGUGUUGGAGAGGCAGGCGGAAUUCCGUGUGUAGCGGUGAAAUGCGUAGAUAUACGGAGGAACACCAGUGGCGAAGGCGGCCUGCUGGACAAUAACUGACGCUGAGGCGCGAAAGCGUGGGGAGCAAACA
rnacentral:rRNA from 1 species